GCCUGGGUGGCUCAGUCGGUUGAGCAUCUGACUACAGCUCAGGUCAUGAUCUCACGGUUCGUGAGUUCGAGCCCCACGUCAGGCU
rnacentral:tRNA from 1 species